AUUGAACGCUGGCGGCAGGCCUAACACAUGCAAGUCGAGCGGUAGCACAGAGAGCUUGCUCUCGGGUGACGAGCGGCGGACGGGUGAGUAAUGUCUGGGAAACUGCCUGAUGGAGGGGGAUAACUACUGGAAACGGUAGCUAAUACCGCAUAACGUCGCAAGACCAAAGUGGGGGACCUUCGGGCCUCAUGCCAUCAGAUGUGCCCAGAUGGGAUUAGCUAGUAGGUGGGGUAACGGCUCACCUAGGCGACGAUCCCUAGCUGGUCUGAGAGGAUGACCAGCCACACUGGAACUGAGACACGGUCCAGACUCCUACGGGAGGCAGCAGUGGGGAAUAUUGCACAAUGGGCGCAAGCCUGAUGCAGCCAUGCCGCGUGUGUGAAGAAGGCCUUCGGGUUGUAAAGCACUUUCAGCGGGGAGGAAGGCGGUGAGGUUAAUAACCUCAUCGAUUGACGUUACCCGCAGAAGAAGCACCGGCUAACUCCGUGCCAGCAGCCGCGGUAAUACGGAGGGUGCAAGCGUUAAUCGGAAUUACUGGGCGUAAAGCGCACGCAGGCGGUCUGUCAAGUCGGAUGUGAAAUCCCUGGGCUCAACCUGGGAACUGCAUUCGAAACUGGCAGGCUAGAGUCUUGUAGAGGGGGGUAGAAUUCCAGGUGUAGCGGUGAAAUGCGUAGAGAUCUGGAGGAAUACCGGUGGCGAAGGCGGCCCCCUGGACAAAGACUGACGCUCAGGUGCGAAAGCGUGGGGAGCAAACAGGAUUAGAUACCCUGGUAGUCCACGCCGUAAACGAUGUCGAUUUGGAGGUUGUGCCCUUGAGGCGUGGCUUCCGGAGCUAACGCGUUAAAUCGACCGCCUGGGGAGUACGGCCGCAAGGUUAAAACUCAAAUGAAUUGACGGGGGCCCGCACAAGCGGUGGAGCAUGUGGUUUAAUUCGAUGCAACGCGAAGAACCUUACCUGGUCUUGACAUCCACAGAACUUUCCAGAGAUGGAUUGGUGCCUUCGGGAACUGUGAGACAGGUGCUGCAUGGCUGUCGUCAGCUCGUGUUGUGAAAUGUUGGGUUAAGUCCCGCAACGAGCGCAACCCUUAUCCUUUGUUGCCAGCGGUCCGGCCGGGAACUCAAAGGAGACUGCCAGUGAUAAACUGGAGGAAGGUGGGGAUGACGUCAAGUCAUCAUGGCCCUUACGACCAGGGCUACACACGUGCUACAAUGGCAUAUACAAAGAGAAGCGACCUCGCGAGAGCAAGCGGACCUCAUAAAGUAUGUCGUAGUCCGGAUUGGAGUCUGCAACUCGACUCCAUGAAGUCGGAAUCGCUAGUAAUCGUAGAUCAGAAUGCUACGGUGAAUACGUUCCCGGGCCU
rnacentral:rRNA from 1 species